AUGGCAACGCAUAUUUCCCACUCUCUCCUAUUGGGACUUUUAUGCGUUGUGUUGGUUCUGGCUUCAGCAGGGCCAACACCAGAUUUGAACGAAUUAUCACGUUUUCCAUGCAUUGGGCCAUGCCAAAACUGUGACCAAAAGUGCAGAAAUAAGGGAUAUAAUAAAGGUGGAGGUUGUUACUCUAGGAUUUGUUGUUGUCACUUUUAA